rnacentral:lncRNA from 1 species
CUGCAAUCUCAGUUUCUGGAGCAGGGCUUGUCAGCAAGUCAUUAUUGAUUAAAUAUUAGUUGAAUUAAUAGAUUAAUUAACUGGCCACUGAGCACCUGCUAUGCACUUUCCUAUGCUCCAUGGUACUGGGGACAUGGCAGUGAGUUAGAUAGCCUGGACCUGCCGUCAUAGGUCUCCCAGUCAAAUAGGAGAGACGAACCCAUCAUUAGGCACUGCCAGCAGCAAGCACUGCCAGCUAAUCACAGCACUGAUUUUGAGCAGGAGUGGGACAGCUUAGAUUUCUCUAGUUCCAAUUUAGAAGUGUUCACCAUUCAUGAUGCUUUCUUGGACCUAUUUAAUUGUUUUUCAGACUGACCGUCUUCUCUCCCUAGGAGGCAUAGGCAGAGGGAUCAGGGCUGGGAAAGGGAGGCCCAGGGGACUGUGUGAGCCCAGAGGGCUUCAUGGAGGAGGUGGUAUGUGAGCGGACAGAAAUGAGCAAGGUGUGCUCGGCAGGGAAAGCAGCUGUGGGAGGGUCUGGAACUGAAAGAUCAUAAAUAUGGCUGGGGUGGGAAGAACGGUGAGAGAGUAGGCCAAAGAGGUCAUUCAGGGAAGAUCAUUCAAGGCCCUGUCAGCCACAGUGAGGAGCUGAGACUGUGUACUGAGGACACCGGGGAGCCACAGAGUUUUUGAGCAGGAGAGGGAUGUGUCAAAUUCACGUGGAGGUCGGAUUGCAAGGAUUGAGUGGAGUCUGGAAGCCAAGGGAGGUGGCUGGAGUGGGGACCCAGGUGGGAGAGACUAAGUCAGAGCUUGUGGGGGAGGGCGAAUUGGAGAGACCCUCACAGGACCAAGUCGACAAAUGGUUGGGGUCCAGGACAAGGCCCAGGGCUGGGGGUAGUCAAGGAGAGCUUUCUGGAGGAGGAGGCACCAAGGCUGAGACCUGAAGGAUGGGUUCAACAGCUCUUCUUGAAAUGGGGACCUGGGGCAGGAAGAUGGUAAGGACAGUUGGGGACAUAGUAGGUGUGGGAGUCUGGGGACACCUUGAAGGAGGUAUCUGGGGGGCCCUGGAACCUCUAGAGCUGGAGUCAGGGGAAAGGAGGAAACAAGACAGAGCUUUGGGUUGAGAAAGAGGGAAUUGAAGCUGUAAUGAUGGGGGAAGGUCCACAGGGGCCUGUCCAUGUAGGGCUCUGUAGGACAUGGUAAGAAGUUUGUCCUUUGUCCUGGGGGCAAUGGGGAGCCACAGAAGGAUUUUGAGCAGGAGUGAGACAGCUUAGGGUUUUUAAGUUCCAGUUCAGAAGUGUUUAUCAUUCAUGAUGCUUUUUGGACCUAUUUAAUUGUUUUUCAGACUGACUGACUUCUCUCCCUAGGAGGGGCACUUAUUUUAAAGGGUCCGUUGAAAUAAAAGAUCUAACUGCUGAAAAUGAAAAAUCAGUUUGCAAAACCAGUGUUCUGUUCCGUUUUCUGUAGACAAUUGAUGGUUCAGUCCAAAGAGGUCAGAAACAAUUGAUGGUUUAGUCCAAAGAGGUCUGUACCAUCUAGUGAAAAUCAGCACCAUUAAACAUGAGAACAUUUCUGUUUUAAACCAUUUGGAAGCCCCGUGAAUUUUAUUUUAUUUUGUUAUUUUUAAAAUUAGAGACAGGGGUCUCGCUCUGUUGCCCAGGCUAGUCUCGAACUGCUGGGCUCAAGCGAUCCUCCCACUUCAGCCUACCAAAGUGCUGGAAUUACAGAUGUGAGCUACUGCUCCUGGCCAGCCUGUGGAUUUGUAAAUGUCUCCUGUGGUGUGAUCUGCCUCAUGUUUCCUGUAUGUAGGCUUCAGAAGCACACUCUGCAUUCUCAGAUGGCUUGAAUCAGCCUUGACUUUUUCCCCACCCUCUCAGCCUGAAUCUCAGGUUGAGAUGCCAUUAUCUGCACCCACCCUAUAUGCUCUGGGCUUAGAACUGAUACCAGCUGGUUAUCAUUGUGUAUAAAAGUGUCACUAGGUAUAGAGAGACAUCUAAAAUAAUCUCCUCUCAAAAUUUUCUAUUCUGCUGCUCCAUUUCUUCUGCUUUCAGUAUUUUUUGAGCAAUUACAAUGGUCUGGGCCCUAGAGCUAGAGGAAUAAAUCAGACACGGACAUAGCAAGGGACACAUAUGUUGAUUAUGUGUGAUUAAAAUGUAUACAAGAUACGAGGGCGUACACAGAUCUCACCAACUAGCAUGUUUCAAGGGCUUACUGUGCUUCCUGCCUUCCAUGGAUGAUCUCAUUGACUUCCCAACAAAUGUGAGGUUGGUAUUAUUAAUCUCCACAUUGUUCAAAGAAUGAAAGUGUGGCUUAGAGAAGGGAACCUCUUUUCCCAGUUCCACAGAGCUGAGAUCUGAAGUCUGAGCUGUGGGACUCUGAGACCCACCCCCUUAACCAUUCAGAGAUCCCCCAGCCACCACCCUCCAGUGCAUAUAAGAUGAUACCCAUUUCAUUUGUUGUUUUGAGACCGUGUCUUGCUCUGUCGCCCAGGCUGGAGUGCAGUGGCACAAUCACGGCUCACUGCAGCCUUGACCUCCUGGACUCAAGCAGUGGUCCCACCUCAGCCUCCCAAGUGGCUGGGACCACAGGCGUAGGCAUGGGCUACCACACCUAGCCAAUUAUCUUUUUGUUUGUUUGUUUUUGAGAUGGAGUUUCGCUCUUGUUGCCCAGACUGGCAUGCAAUGAUGCAAUCUCGGCUCACUGCAACCUCUGCCUCCCAGGUUCAAGCGAUUCUUGGACCUCAGCCUCCCGAGUAGCCUGCCACCAUGCCAGGCUAAUUUUUGUAUUUUUGGUAGAGACGAGGUUUCACCAUGUUGGCCAGGCUGGUCUCGAACUCCUGACCUCAGGUGAUCCACCCAUCUUGGCCUCCCAAAGUGCUGGGAUUACAGGCAUGAGCCACCGUGCCCAGCCGCCUAGCCAAUUUUUUAAGUUUUUGUAGAGAUGGGGUCACACCUUGUUGCCCCAACUGGUCUCAAACUCCUGAGCUCAAGCCAUCCUCCCGCCUUGGCCUCCCAAAGUGCUGGGAUUAUAGGCAUAAGCCACUGCGCCCUGCCAAUAUGGCUAAUACUGGUUUAUAGAUGAGGCCAGCAGGGCUCAGAAGUAAAGCCCCAUGCUCAGCAUCACUCAGCAAGAAAGUGGCAGAGGUGUGAUCUGAACCAUGAGCUCUCCAAUUUAAAGGGCUGCUGUAGAGGAGGAAUCAAAUCUCCCACUGCCACCCUCCCCUGGGGGUGGGGUGUUCAGGGAUCUGUGACCCAGUGGGUUUUACUUCCUCCUUUUUGCGGGCUAUGGUGUCAUACUCCAAGGGGGGCAGGACCACAAGGCAAGGGGACUAGGGGGUAUUCUGUGGGCUGGGAGAGAGCACGCUUCCUGGCAGUGCCCUCUCCCAGAUGAGACCUGAUCUCUUUUUUGUUUUUUGUUUUUUGUUUUGAGACAGAGUUUUGCUCUUCUUGCCCAGGCUGGAGUACAAUGGCGCAAUCUUGGCUCACUGCAACCUCCGCCUCCCAGGUUCAAGCGAUUCUCCUGCCUCAGCCUCCUGAGUAGCUGGGAUUACAGGCAUGCGCCACCACGCCCGGCUAAUUUUGUAUUUUUAGUAGAGACGGGGUUUCACCAUGUUGGUCAGGCUGGUCUUGAACUCCCGACCUCAGGUGAUUUGCCCACCUCAGCCUCCCAAAGUGCUGGAUUACAGGUGUGAGCCACUGCGCCCGACCGAGACCUGAUUUCAUCUCAUGUCAUACCAGCAAGGAGGCAGAGCAUAAGUACCAACCUGGAUGGGGCGCGCUGGGAGCCCCAUGGAGGUUCUAGGGUCCUGAGAAUACAGGCAUUGAGACGGGCUGAGGAGGAACUCCAGCAUCCGGCUGCCCGUGCCCACCUUCAGUUUCACCCUACCCUGCUCCCACAAGGAUCUGAGCAGGGAGGGGGCCUGAUUUCCUUCUCCCGCUGAGACCACAGUCCUCUGGAGGCUAGGAUCUGGUGAUGGGGCACCCUAGCUAGGAGCCUGAGCCUCUUUAUAAUUUAGUUUCCAUAGAAGUUAUAUGUGCAUUUAAAAAAAUUCAAUGUAAGUAAAGACCUACAAUGAAAAGCAACCGUCUUGUCUCUGGGGGUGGGAUGGGGGAUGCCUUUGCGUGGGGAGCUGUUAGGAGACUUGACAGUCACCUUUGCUGAGAGCCUCCUGCAUGUCAGGGGCUCUUCUAUGCACAUUAUAUGUGUGCUAAUUCCUUUUUUAAAACUUUACUUUUUGUGGAGAUGAGUCCUGCUGUGUUGUGUAGGCUGGUCUUGAACUCCUGGCCUCACGCAAUCCACCCCCAACCUUAGCCUCCCGGAGUGCAGGGAUUACAGGUGUGAGCCACCUUUCCCAGCCUGUUGACUCCUUUAAUUCAGAGGAGUCAGUCAGAUUUUAGACAUCUCAAAUGUUGUAUGUUCAAAACCAAACUCCUGGUCUUUUCCCCAAACUUGUGUCUCCCUGUCUUGCCCAAUCAGCUGUUGACACCUCCAAUCCUUGCAGUUGCUGCGGCCAAAACUCAGUCAUCCCUCACUCCUUUACUGCUCUCAAACCCACAUCCAGCCUAGAAAUGCCAUCCCCUCCACCUUCAAAAUGCAUCCAGACCCCGCCCUUUCUUCGACACUUGGCUGACCACACCCUGGUCCUGUCCACCCUUGGCUCCUGUCUGGAUGCUCCCAGCAGCCUCCUCCCUGGGCUCCCUUGCCCUGCCCCAGUCUGUUCCCCACGCACAGCCGCCAGGGGAUCCUGUAACACCUGUGUUUGUUUCUUCGGGCUGCUGUAACAAAUUGCCACCAAGUUGGUGGCUUAACACAACAGAAUGUAUGGCCAGGCGCAGUGGCUCCUGCCUGUAAUCCCAGCACUUUGGGAGGCCGAGACAGUCGAUCAUUUGAAGUUGCACCACUGCACUCCAGCCUGGAUAACAGAGCGAGACUCCGUCUUAAAAAAAAAAAAAAAAAAAAAAGACAACAAAUUCAUUCUCUCAGUUUUGGAGCCGAAGUCCAAACUCAAGGUGUAGCAGGGCCAUGCGCCUCCAGAAGCUGGAGGGGAGAUUCCAUUCCUCACCUCUCCCAGCUUCUAGUGGCUCCAGGCAUUGCUGGGUUUAUGGCCACAUCACCCUAAUGUCAGCCUCCCUGUUCACAUGACCUUCUGCCUGUUCUAUCUCUGAGGACAGUUGUGAUUGGAUUUAGGGCCCAUCCAGUUAGUCCAGGAUGAUCUCAUCUCAAGAUCCUAAAUCUGAUUACAAUUGCAAAGAUCCUUUUUCCAAAUAAGGUCACAUGCACGUAAGUUCCGGGGAUUAUGCUUGCGUGGGACACAUCUUUUUUGAGGCCACCAUUCAACCCACUACAAAAUCCAACUGAAGCCCAGCGAAGUGGCUCAUGCCUGAAAUCCCCGCACUGUGCGAGGCCAAGGCAGGAGGGUCACCUGAGGCCAGGAGUUCAAGAGUAGCCUGGGCAGCGUAGGGAGAUCCUCAUCUCUUUUUUUUUUCGAGAUGGAGUUUCGUUCUUGUUACUCAGGCUGGAGUGCAAUGGCGCAAUCUUGGCUCACUAUAACUUCCUCCUCCUGGGUUCAAGCGAUUCUCCUGCCUCAGCAAUCCCGAGUAGCUGGGAUUACAGGCAUGUGCCACCAUGCCCAGCUAAUUUUUUAUUUUUAGUAGAGACAGGGUUUCUCCAUGUUGGUCAGGCUGGUCUCGAACUCCCAACCUCAGGUGAUCCGCCCACCUUGGCCUCCCAAAGUGCUGGGAUUACAGGCAUGAGCCAUCACGCCCAGUGGAGAUCCCCAUCUCUUAAAAAAAUCUGAAGCAGAUCACAUCAUCCUUCCCUGCUGGGAACCCACACGUGACCCUGUUCUACUCAUCACAGUCCAGGCAGCCCUGCAGGAUCUGGCCCUAUCACCUCUGUGACAUCUCCUCUCCCACUCCCCCCAGCCCACUUCACUGCAGACACACUGGCAUCCUCACUCUUCUCCAUCCACACCAGGCACAUUCCUCCCUCAGGGCCUUUGUACUGAUCAUUUUUCCCACAGAUGUCCAUCUCACCCCACCUUGAAGUUUUUCUUCAGGUAUCCCCUUCUCAGUGAGGCCUUUUCUGACCUCCUUAUUAAAUAUCACAAACAAUUCCACCCCCACCCCCUUCCCUGAUCCUCUAUGGCACUUACUACCUUCUAACAUUAUAUCAUUUAUUUAUUAUCUUGUUUAUUAUCACCUUUUUUUUUUAUUUUUUGAGACGGAGUUUCCUUUGUCGCCCACGCUGGAGUGCGGUGGCGCCAACUCACUGCAACCUCCACCUCCCUGGUUCAAGCAAUUCGCCCACCUCAGCCUCCUGAGUAGCUGAGAUUACAGGCGCCCUCCAACACGCCCGGCUAAUUUUUGUAUUUUUAGUAGAGAUGGGAUUUCGCCAUGUUGGCCAGGCUGGUCUCGAAUGCCAGACCUCAGGUGAUCCACCCACAUCGGCCCCCCAAAGUGCUGGCAUUACAGGCGUGAGACACCGCGCCUGGCCUCUGUUUUUCCCUCGUGUCUAUUUUGUUCACAGCUGUAUCCCCAGUGCCUAAAACAAUACCUGAUGCACACAAGGCAACCAGUAAAUGUGUGUAAAAUUAACGAACAGCAAAUGCUAUUGUUACCAUGCCCAUUUUGCAGAUGGAGAAACCAAGAGCACAGAGGUGUUGUCACUUCUCCAAGGUCAAACAGUCACUAAGUGCAGAAGCUCAGAUUCAAACACAGGUAUCUGGCUCUAGCACUUACUGUAUUGUCUUGCCAGUCUCAUCCAAUCGAAAUCACUUCUCCAGUACUAGUUUUUAUUUGUUUGUUUUUUAUGAGACAGGCUCUCACUCUGUCAGCUGGGCUGGAGUGAGGUGGUGCGAUCACUGCUCACUGCAGUCUCCACCUCCCAGAUUCAAGCAAUUCUCCUGCCUCAGCCUUCCACAUAGUUGGAACUACACGUCCACACCAUCAUACCAGGCUAAUUUUCUUUCAUUUGUUGUAGAGAUUAGGUCUCACUAUGUUGCCCAGGCUGGUCUCAAACUCCUGGGCUCAAGCAAUCCUCCCACCUUGGCCUCCCAAAGUGCUGGGAUUACACGUGUAAACCACCGUGCCUGGCCCUCCAAUAUUAGUUUACUUUUUAAUCAAAAGUUAACACAAUAAGAAAAAUAAUACAAUUAAAACAUCAAAAGUUAAAAUUAAACUAAUCAUUACAGACCUGUAAUCACUGUACAAUUUGGAAGCCAAAACAUCACUGACAAUUUGAACGAAGUCCAUCUAUUUUCUUCCUAUUUUUAUUUUGUUUUUGUUUUUAUUUUUUAUGUUCUUGUAGAGACUGGGCCUUGCUAUGUUGCCAAGGCUAGUCUGGAACUCCUGGGCUCAAGCAGUCCUCUCACCUCAGCCUCCCAAAGUGCUGAGAUUACAGGUGUGAGCCACGGUGCCAGGCCUUUCUCCUUAUUUUUGGUUUAUUAGUGACCAUCCCAGUUCUCCAGCCCUGACGCUGCCAGCCCUGUUACUUCAGAUCUCCAUGCCCCACCUUGCCUUCGGUUUUGUUUUUCUUCAUCUUGGCUUCCCUAAUUUCACAUUGCCUGCUGUUCCAACUCCAUAUUCUUCAAUAAAAAUAUGUCUCACCAAGGCCUUCAAAGAAAAUUGAAGACAAGCAUUUCCUGCACUCCCUCCUGCCUCCUCCACCCACAAUGUUGUGGUCAACCGCCUCUAAGACUGAUGUUAUCUUCUGCUUCUCCUAGUGACCUCUGGAGUUUCAAAUAACCUUAGUCUGUUGCUGUUUCUUGCUAGAUUUGUUUGUUUGUUUGUUUGUUUGUUUGUUUGAGACGGAGUCUCGCUCUGUUUUAACCCAGGCUGGAGUGCAGUGGCGCAAUCUCAGCUCACUGCAACCUCUGCCUCCCAGGAGAAUCGCUUGAAACCACAAGGCGGAGGUUGCAGUGAACCAAGAUUGUGCCACUGCACUCCAGCCUGGGCAAAAGAGCGAAACUCCGUCUCAGAAAAAAGAAAAUAGGGGCCAGAUGUGGUGGCUCAUGCCUGUAAUCUCAGAACUUUGGGAGGCCAAGGUAGGAGGAUCACUUGAGUCCAGGAGUUCAGCCUGGGCAAUAAGCAAGACCCCGUCUAUACAAAAUUAAA